rnacentral:misc_RNA from 1 species
GCCUAAUUCCGUGGAGUACUUUAUCGCCUUAGCGUCGCCUUCGCCUUAAUAACACUGGGCGACUCUCAGGUUCCCGAGAGUCCUCCCCUGCGUUGCGCUUAUCGCUACUGGUUUUGAUGGGCAACGACGAAGAUGCUUUGGCGAUGGCGGAAUUAGCUACUGAUGAAGAUGGUCCAAAUACACAGCCCGCCAGUGCCCAACUCUUUGAAAAGCUCGAGGUGAUCAGAAUCGAAGAAUCGGGUUUGGUGUGCUCGAUUUGGUUGGGCCAAUUGUCGAUCGAGUCGGAAGCUAGGCGGUUGCCGUGUUCUCGUGUCUACCAUGGCAACUGCAUCAUGGAGC